rnacentral:rRNA from 1 species
UGAACGCUGGUGGCUGCCUAACAAUGCAAGUCGAACGGUAACAGGCGGAGCUUGCUCUGUGCUGACGAGUGGCGGACGGGUGAGUAAUGCUUAGGAAUCUGCCCGGUAGCGGGGGAUAGCUCGGGGAAACUCGAAUUAAUACCGCAUACGCCCUAAGGGGGAAAGCGGGGGAUCUUCGGACCUCGCACUAUUGGAUGAGCCUAAGUCAGAUUAGCUAGUUGGUGGGGUAAAGGCCUACCAAGGCGACGAUCUGUAGCUGGUCUGAGAGGACGAUCAGCCACACUGGGACUGAGACACGGCCCAGACUCCUACGGGAGGCAGCAGUGGGGAAUAUUGGACAAUGGGGGCAACCCUGAUCCAGCAAUGCCUCGUGUGUGAAGAAGGCCUGCGGGUUGUAAAGCACUUUCAGUAAAGAAGAAAUCCUCAGAGUUAAUACCUCUGUGGCUUGACAUUACUUACAGAAGAAGCACCGGCUAACUCCGUGCCAGCAGCCGCGGUAAUACGGAGGGUGCGAGCGUUAAUCGGAAUUACUG